ACAUGCCUACAACAUAGUGUUAAUGCAUGAGAUCACAUUAGAACUCUACAGUUAAGCGCAUUCAAGCUAGAUUAGUACUGGGAUGGGUGACCUCUUGGGAAGUCCUAGUGUUUUACAUGCA
rnacentral:rRNA from 1 species